UCCCCGUUGCCGGGGCAGUCUCGCUAGUCAAAUAGAACUAACGACGAGGGUUGCGCUCGUUGAAGGACUUAACCUAACAUCUCACGACACGAGCUGACGACGGCCAUGCAGCACCUGUCACCGGGUUCCCCGAAAGGCACAGCUCUGUUUCCAGAGCCUUCCCGGGAUGUCAAGCCCUGGUAAGGUUCUUCGCGUAGCAUCGAAUUAAACCACACGCUCCACCGCUUGUGCGGGCCCCCGCCAAUUCCUUUGAGUUUUAGCCUUGCGGCCGUACUCCCCAGGCGGGAUGCUUAACGCGUUGGCUUCGCUACCGGACGGGUCGAUACGUCCGACAGCUAGCAUCCAUCGUUUACAGCGUGGACUAC
rnacentral:misc_RNA from 1 species